rnacentral:lncRNA from 1 species
AAAAAAAGAGAGCGUGAGACACAAAAAGACAGAGAGAGAAGCAGUGGGAGGAUGGAAAGAACUGAAAGUUUUUGUGGUGGAAUCUAAAAGGGCUUCAGAAGAGAGAAGCUGAACCCAGUAAACUGGCAGAGCUGUUCAUCGAAUCAAAUUGAAGCCUUAGUGCUCUCAGUUUCUCCAGAUUGUCCCGUAUCCACCUCCUUCCUCAGGACGAGUCUUGCCCGACCAGCCAUUUCAUCAAAUCACCACCAGCUUCAGCUUCAACUUCAUCACCCAAAGGGGGAUGAUCGAUGGCGCUCUUUCACCGCAGACACUUUUAGAGGGUCGAUAGACUGAGUGGAGGAGUGGAGAGAGGCAGAGAGAGAGAGCUGGAACGAGUGAGAGAGACCUGUAUUGGAAGUACGUGCAGUGUGAUUAUUUACCUGUUGGCGAGGCGAAGCACGAAAAGCUCAAGGAAGGCAGAGUCAAUCAGCAUGUUCUGGUCGUCGUGGUGAAGCUCAGAGAAUCCAGGCAGCCGUUCAGCCCAGCAGCGCGUCACCUCCAUAGAGCCGGUUAACACUCUGUAAAACAUCUGGAUCUGCUGAGACUCAGACAGACCCACGGGCUCCACCGCACUGAACUGCAGAGAGACAGAUGAGUAUACAAAUCACAAUCACUCAGUUGAAUGAACUACCUGUGGAUAUGAAACCCUCUGGUUUUGGACAUUCACUAAAGUGGAGGCAAUUUUAUAUUUACAGUCACAGUGACUUUUAAAAACGAUUUAAUUAAUUUAAGAUGUCUGACAAAAGAGUAUCUGGAAUGUUUUAGGUUGAUUGAGACAAUACUUUUUUAAUUUGAGUUAAAGCUUUAGUGUUUAUUAUAUAUGUUUUUGCAAAUGUAUUAUUAUUUUUAAUUAUAUAAAUAUAUACAGUAGUUAGGUUCAUAACAUUUCUGCCUAUGUAAUGGUAAACCUUUGCAAAAACAAGAUAUUAGUUAGCUAUGUUUAUCAUGAAAAAUACUUACAGUAAAAGACAUUUUUAUAAUCAAAAUGUGUUUAUUAAUAUUAACAAACAUUAAUAAAAUGUAUUGUACAUCAAUAGUUAAAGUUAAUUAACUAACUAAUGUGAAAUACAGGACAUUAAUGUAAAGUGUAAACAGAAUAUGUUUUAUUUUAAAUAUCAUUUAU